rnacentral:rRNA from 1 species
GGUUACCUUGUUACGACUUCACCCCAGUCAUGAAACACAAAGUGGUAAUCGUCCUCCCGAAGGUUAGACUAACUACUUCUUUUGCAUCCCACUCCCAUGGUGUGACGGGCGGUGUGUACAAGGCCCGGGAACGUAUUCACCGCAGUAUUCUGACCUGCGAUUACUAGCGAUUCCGACUUCAUGGAGUCGAGUUGCAGACUCCAAUCCGGACUACGACAUUCUUUAAGGGGUCCGCUCCACAUCACUGUCUCGCUUCCCUCUGUAAAUGCCAUUGUACCACGUGUGUU